rnacentral:rRNA from 1 species
UACAGAGGGUGCGAGCGUUAAUCGGAAUUACUGGGCGUAAAGCGCGCGUAGGCGGCUUUGCAAGUCGGGUGUGAAAUCCCCAGGCUUAACCUGGGAACUGCAUUCGAGACUGCAUUGCUAGAGUAUGGGAGAGGGAAGUGGAAUUUCCGGUGUAGCGGUGAAAUGCGUAGAUAUCGGAAGGAACAUCAGUGGCGAAAGCGACGUCCUGGACCAAUACUGACGCUCAGGUGCGAAAGCGUGGGGAGCAAACAGG